rnacentral:rRNA from 1 species
GACGAACGCUGGCGGCGUGCCUAAUACAUGCAAGUAGAACGCACAGUUUAUACCGUAGCUUGCUACACCAUAGACUGUGAGUUGCGAACGGGUGAGUAACGCGUAGGUAACCUGCCUGGUAGCGGGGGAUAACUAUUGGAAACGAUAGCUAAUACCGCAUAAUAUUGAUUAUUGCAUGAUAAUUGAUUGAAAGAUGCUAUUGCAUCACUACCAGAUGGACCUGCGUUGUAUUAGCUAGUAGGUGAGGUAACGGCUCACCUAGGCGACGAUACAUAGCCGACCUGAGAGGGCGAUCGGCCACACUGGGACUGAGACACGGCCCAGACUCCUACGGGAGGCAGCAGUAGGGAAUCUUCGGCAAUGGACGAAAGUCUGACCGAGCAACGCCGCGUGAGUGAAGAAGGUUUUCGGAUCGUAAAGCUCUGUUGUAAGAGAAGAACGGGUGUGAGAGUGGAAAGUUCACACUGUGACGGUAUCUUACCAGAAAGGGACGGCUAACUACGUG